rnacentral:lncRNA from 1 species
AUCUAUAUGCUACUGGCCCAAUCCGCUCGGUAAUCUCAUACGGCCCAAUGAAUCCCGGACUCAAUUUGCCUUUUCUAUCGAACAAGAGUACUUUCUUCCACAGAGACACCUUCAAAAACACUUUGUCACCAAUCUCAAACUCAUUGUCUUUUCUUUUCAAACCCGCAUAAGAUUUCUGACGAUCGAAAGCUUCUUUUAAACUAUCUCGGAUUACUUUUAUUUUCUAUUCAAUCCCUUUGAUCAAAUCGACUUCAUGAAUCUUAUUUUUGCUGAG